rnacentral:rRNA from 1 species
UAGUCAACUUACCCUAUGGACGAGGAUAAUCUCGGGAAACUGAGCAUAAUACUCGAUAGAUCAUAAUGCCUGGAACGGUUUAUGGUUAAAAUGAUUCGUCGCCAUAGGAUGGGACUGCGGCCUAUCAGCUUGUUGGUGAGGUAAUGGCCCACCAAGGCUAUAACAGGUACGGGCUCUGAGAGGAGUAGCCCGGAGAUGGGGACUGAGACAAGGACCCAGGUCCUAUGGGGCGCAGCAGGCGAGAAAACUUUGCAAUGUGCGAAAGCACGACAAGGUUAAUCCGAGUGAUUUCUGCUAAAGAGAUCUUUUGUUAGUCAUAAAACCACUGGCGAAUAAGGGGUGGGCAAGUUCUGGUGUCAGCCGCCGCGGUAAAACCAGCACCUCAAGUGGUCAGGAGGAUUAUUGGGCCUAAAGCAUCCGUAGCCUGUUUUGUAAGUCUUCGGUCAAAUCCACAUGCUUAACAUGUGGCCUGCCGGAGAUACUGCAAAACUAGGGAGUGGGAGAGGUAGACGGUACUUGAUAGGAAGGGGUAAAAUCCUUUGAUCUAUUGAUGACCACCUGUGGCGAAGGCGGUCUACCAGAACACGUUCGACGGUGAGGGAUGAAAGCUGGGGGAGCAAACCGGAUUAGAUACCCGGGUAGUCCCAGCUGUAAACGAUGCAGACUCGGUGAUGCAUUGGUUUAUUGCCAGUGUAGUGCCGCAGGGAAGCCGUCAAGUUUGCCGCCUGGGAAGUACGUACGCAAGUAUGAAACUUAAAGGAAUUGGCGGGGGAGCACCACAAGGGGUGAAGCCUGCGGUUCAAUUGGAGUCAACGCCUGAAACCUUACCCGGAGAGACAGCAGAAUGAAGGUCAAGCUGAAGACUUUACCAGACAAGCUGAGAGGUGGUGCAUGGCCGUCGUCAGCUCGUGCCGUGAGAUGUCCUGUUAAGUCAGGUAACGAGCGAGAUCCCUGCCUCUAGUUGCCACCAUUACUCUCAGGAGUAGUGGGGCGAAUUAGGGGGACCGCCGCAGUUAAUGCGGAGGAAGGAAGGGGCCACGGCAGGUCAGUAUGCCCCGAAACUCUGGGGCCACACGCGGGCUGCAAUGGUAGCGACAAUGAGUCCCAAAAUCGAAAGAUAGAGGUAAUCCCCAAACGCUACCACAGUUAUGAUUGAGGGCUGCAACUCGCCCUCAUGAAUAUGGAAUCCC